AGGUACUGAAAGCAUUAGCAACGAAUGACAAAUGAGGGAGAAUGGUGUGUUUCUGAUAUCAUGCAUAACGAUAUUCGUCUGCUAUGUUACGAAUCAGAAUCAGGUCGAGGGAUUCGAUCCUGGCGAUGUUAUUAAUGCACCGAUCCUGAAUCCGUCUGAGAUUGAAGUAACUGCUGUGAACAAAGAACAGCUUGCUUUCACACAAGCAACGUUAUCGUGCAUCGUCACUGGAUUGGCGGAGUCAUUAGAUAGCGUAAUAUGGUAUAUUGAGGGCGAUUAUACGCCCAUAAUAUCUGGUCAGGAUGAUUACAUUAUAGACAAGGGUGUCCUCGAAAACAAUUCACAAACAACCACGCUGACGGUCGGAAGUUCUCAAAAUAACCAAGAUUCUAUCUACACCUGUUGGAUCACAUCUUCAAAUGAUCCUAUUAAGGGUAUCGUUGUAAACACCGCUGUCGUUAAUUUGAAAG